rnacentral:misc_RNA from 1 species
GAUGAAGAACGCAGCGAAAUGCGAUAAGUAAUGUGAAUUGCAGAAUUCAGUGAAUCAUCGAGUCUUUGAACGCACAUUGCGCCCCCUGGUAUUCCGGGGGGCAUGCCUGUCCGAGCGUCAUUGCUGCCCUCAAGCACGGCUUGUGUGUUGGGCCUCCGUCCUCCUCCCGGGGGACGGGCCCGAAAGGCAGCGGCGGCACCGCGUCCGGUCCUCGAGCGUAUGGGGCUUCGUCACCCGCUCUUGUAGGCCCGGUCGGCGCUUGCCGACACAUCAAUCUUUUUUCCAGGUUGACCUCGGAUCAGGUAGGGAUACCCGCUGAACUUAAGCAUAUCAAUAAGCGGAGGA